GCGUGAGUGAUGAAGGCCUUCGGGUUGUAAAGCUCUUUUGUCAGGGACGAUAAUGACGGUACCUGACGAAUAAGCUCCGGCUAACUUCGUGCCAGCAGCCGCGGUAAUACGAAGGGAGCUAGCGUUGUUCGGAAUUACUGGGCGUAAAGGGCGCGUAGGCGGUCUUAUAAGUUUGGUGUGAAAGCCCUGGGCUUAACCUAGGAAUAGCAUUGGAUACUGUAAGACUUGAGACCGAGAGAGGGAAAUGGAAUUGCGAGUGUAGAGGUGAAAUUCGU
rnacentral:rRNA from 1 species